rnacentral:rRNA from 1 species
CAGCAGCAGCCACGGUAAAACGUAGGGUGCAAGCGUUAAUCGGAAUUACUGGGCGUAAAGCGUGCGCAGGCGGUUAUAUAAGUCAGAUGUGAAAUCCCCGGGCUCAACCUGGGAACUGCAUUUGAGACUGUAUGGCUAGAGUGUGUCAGAGGGGGGUAGAAUUCCACGUGUAGCAGUGAAAUGCGUAGAUAUGUGGAGGAAUACCGAUGGCGAAGGCAGCCCCCUGGGAUAACACUGACGCUCAUGCACGAAAGCGUGGGGAGCAAACAGGAUUAGAUACCCGUGUAGUCCCUGUCUCUUAUAA